AACGAACGCUGGCGGCAGGCCUAACACAUGCAAGUCGAACGCUUCAGCAAUGAAGAGUGGCAGACGGGUGAGUGACGCGUGGGAACCUUCCCAGUGGUACGGAAUAGCCCAGGGAAACUUGGGGUAAUACCGUAUAAGCCCUUCGGGGGAAAGAUUUAUCGCCAUUGGAUGGGCCCGCGUCGGAUUAGCUUGUUGGUGAGGUAAAAGCUCACCAAGGCGACGAUCCGUAGCUGGUCUGAGAGGAUGAUCAGCCACACUGGGACUGAGACACGGCCCAGACUCCUACGGGAGGCAGCAGUGGGGAAUAUUGGACAAUGGGCGCAAGCCUGAUCCAGCCAUGCCGCGUGAGUGACGAAGGCCUUAGGGUUGUAAAGCUCUUUUGGCGGGGACGAUAAUGACGGUACCCGCAGAAUAAGCUCCGGCUAACUUCGUG
rnacentral:rRNA from 1 species